rnacentral:rRNA from 1 species
GGGGAAUAUUGGACAAUGGACCGAGAGUCUGAUCCAGCAAUUCUGUGUGCACGAUGAAGUUUUUCGGAAUGUAAAGUGCUUUCAGUUGGGAAGAAAGAAAUGACGGUACCAACAGAAGAAGUGACGGCUAAAUACGUGCCAGCAGCCGCGGUAAUACGUAUGUCACGAGCGUUAUCCGGAUUUAUUGGGCGUAAAGCGCGUCUAGGUGGUUAUAUAAGUCUGAUGUGAAAAUGCAGGGCUCAACUCUGUAUUGCGUUGGAAACUGUAUAACUAGAGUACUGGAGAGGUAAGCGGAACUACAAGUGUAGAGGUGAAAUUCGUAGAUAUUUGUAGGAAUGCCGAUGGGGAAGCCAGCUUACUGGACAGAUACUGACGCUGAAGCGCGAAAGCGUGGGUAGCAAACAGGAUUAGAUACCCUGGUAGUCCACGCUGUAAACGAUGAUUACUAGGUGUUGGGGGUCGAACCUCAGCGCCCAAGCAAACGCGAUAAGUAAUCCGCCUGGGGAGUACGUACGCAAGUAUG